UACGGAAGGUCCGGGCGUUAUCCGGAUUUAUUGGGUUUAAAGGGAGCGUAGGCCGAAGUUUAAGCGAGCUGCGAAAUGUGGCGGCUCAACCGCCGAACUGCAGCGCGAACUGGUUUUCUUGAGUGCGCUAAAGGCGGGCGGAAUUCGUGGUGUAGCGGUGAAAUGCUUAGAUAUCACGAGGAAUCCCGAUUGCGAAGGCAGCGUCCGGCAACGGUACUGACGCUGAGGCUCGAAAGUGCGGGUAUCGAACAGG
rnacentral:rRNA from 1 species